UAGGGAAUAUUGCACAAUGGAGGAAACUCUGAUGCAGCGACGCCGCGUGAGUGAUGAAGGACUUCGGUUUGUAAAGCUCUGUUCUUAGGGAAUAAAAAAAUGAAUGUACCUGAGGAGAAAGGGACGGCUAACUUCGUGCCAGCAGCCGCGGUAAUACGAAGGUCCCAAGCGUUGCUCGGAAUCAUUGGGCGUAAAGCGGGUGCAGGUGGCUUUGUAAGUCAGGAGUGAAAGCCCAGGGCUCAACCCUGGAAGUGCUUUUGAUACUGCAAAGCUUGAGUGUGGGAGAGGAUGCUGGAAUUCCUGGUGUAGUGGUGAAAUACGUAGAUAUCAGGAGGAACCCCGGUGGCGAAGGCGGGUAUCUGGCCCAACACUGACACUUAGACCCGAAAGCGUGGGGAUCAAACAGG
rnacentral:rRNA from 1 species